CCUACGGGUGGCUGCAGUGAGGAAUAUUGGUCAAUGGACGAGAGUCUGAACCAGCCAAGUAGCGUGAAGGAUGACUGCCCUAUGGGUUGUAAACUUCUUUUAUAUGGGAAUAAAAUGUUCCACGUGUGGGAUUUUGUAUGUACCAUAUGAAUAAGGAUCGGCUAACUCCGUGCCAGCAGCCGCGGUAAUACGGAGGAUCCGAGCGUUAUCCGGAUUUAUUGGGUGUAAAGGGAGCGUAGGUGGAUUGUUAAGUCAGUUGUGAAAGUUUGCGGCUCAACCGUAAAAUUGCAGUUGAAACUGGCAGUCUUGAGUACAGUAGAGGUGGGCGGAAGUCAUGGUGUAGCGGUGAAAUGCUUAGAUAUCACGAAGAACUCCGAUUGCGAAGGCAGUUCACUGGACUGCAACUGACACUGAGGCUCGAAAGUGUGGGUAUCAAACAGGAUUAGAUACCCCAGUAGUC
rnacentral:rRNA from 1 species